CAAGCCCCCUGCUGACGAUAAGAUGGAUCCUCCUGUGGCGCUGACUGGGUUUUUAAACUGCGGCUGCUUUACUGUCUGGUUCACAUAGCCUUCUAGCUGGAUUGUACGAUACAUGCGUUUAUCCCUAUCCAACAACGUUAAGCAAGGUCCACUGCAUAGCUGACUACCAGAAAAUCACCGAGUAAUCAAAUGCCUAGUGAAGUCUAGAAAGAAAGAAGUUGAAAUAUCUAUACUAAAUUGUUUGCGGUAAUUAUCGGAUGCGGAGAAUUUAUCUUGGAAUCCUAGGUCUGGAGUUCUGGUACCGUUUCCUAUCUGGCCAGUUGGACAACCCAAAUACUAGUAGAGGCAGUCGUCUAGGCAACAGUGGAAACGUUCUAGAGCUUCAGGUUCUAACUCAGUUACACCACGUCCCCUGAGCUUUCCAUAUUAACGAGAGGAGUUCCCGUCCUUUUUUCCCUUCCGUGAAGGUAAAUAGUGCCAAUAGUAGCAGUGUAUUGAAUACUUCUACAGAGCUGUAGCUUACAGGCCCAAAUAAAUACCGAAUUGCUUCCAGACUUCGUAAAACAGUAGAGUUCCGUUUAUAGUUCUUUUCAUUGAGAAAGAAAUAAAACAUGAGGAGCGUUAACGUAGGAUCAGCAAAUCAGCAAAAAAAGAAUGAUGAGAAGAAAGAGAGGUCGCCAGAAAUGAAUACGUCAGCUUGGACAGAUAAAAAGCGAGAUCAGGGUAUCCAGAAACCCGAAUCCGGAAACCGAAACGAAAACCUGAACAAAAACCCUUGGGGUCCUAUUUACCAAAAUAAAAAGCAUUUCACAGAAAUGCAUCAUUGCUAAAAUUAACCUUUUCAUUCUUUGCUAAGUAAGGAAAUUUUCGAAAGUGGUUCCGAUCGUAAUAUUUUCCUUGAGAUGCCAUUUGUCGUUAAGAAACACCAAAAAUUAAGCGCAGAGUAAUAGUUAUUAUCAAAAUAUGCAUCAUCUGGUAUUUUCUUUGCCAUUUAUAUUCCAUUUUGUAAAACCAACAUAUUGGAUAAAGUUUAGAAUAAUGAAAAGACUUUGUAACGGAACCAUUAAACAUUCUAAAGUCUUAAUAAAAAUUUGUUCGUUUUUUUAGAUGAUACAUUUUCUAACUGAUUAUCAGUUUCUGAUGUUUAAACUGAAAGACAAAUUAUAAAAAGGUGUCCUACGUUCUUUAUGAAUAACAAAUAAGCUUGUUAGAGUUUAGCAAGUUCAAUUGAAACAAAAUUUUUAGCCUGCGCUAAGAAAACUCAAAAGAAAGUACAAUAGACGAAAUAUAGAAACAGUAAACAGAUGGGUUUUUUUUAUAGAAUUCACUAUAUGUUGAGUGCUUCUGUGGUACUUUCCAACACAUAUUGUAAAUCCUGGCUGAAGAUUCGAUUUUAUUGGAUUCCAAUAGAAAUAUAUGUAUCUUAGAUAUAACAUUAUGACAUUACUUACGGGUUAACAUUAGCUAUAACAUUAUGAGAUUACUUACGGGUUAACCUUAGCUAUAACAUUAUGACAUUACUUACGGGUUAACAUUAGCUAUAACAUUAUGAGAUUACUUACAGGUUAACCUUAGCUAUAACAUUAUGACAUUACUAACAGGUUAACCUUAGAUAUAACUAUGACAUUACUAACAUGUUAACCUUAGAUAUAACAUUAUGAGAUUACUUACGGGUUAACCCUAGCUAUAACAUUAUGACAUUACUUACGGGUUAACCUUAGCUAUAACAUUAUGAGAUUACUUACAGGUUAACCUUAGCUAUAAUAUUAUGACAUUACUAACAGGUUAACCUUAGCUAUAACAUUAUGACAUUACUAACAGGUUAACCUUAGAUAUAACAUUAUGACAUUACUAACAGGUUAACCUUAGAUAUAACAUUAUGACAUUACUAACAGGUUAACCAACUAUUAGUUUUACAUAUCUACGAGAAAGAAGAUCAAGCACUGUUUGUUCAUAAUUGUAAUUUUUUUAGUUACCAAUAAUCCCAAAAUUCAUAUUUGAAUGAACACGUGAUUUUUAGUUAAAGACCUCAUACUCAAAAAAGUGGAUACUUAGUAUUUGUUCAUCAUGUUAAUUAACAGGGUAAACAAAGAGCAACCAGCCUUAAAUUGACUUAUAGAAAACUAUACGGGAUGUUUUUAUGAUAAAUUUCAGCGCGAUAAAGACCCUUCUCUUAAUGUACCAUUGAAAUACUUGAAAUCAUUACCUGAAAGAAGAAACCGAUUUUGUAUUACGUACGGUUUUAAAAGGAUGUGUUUGAUUAUUGAAUAUUUAGAAGUUCUGAAUUAAUAUAUUCAGUCUUGGUUGUGUUUCUUUUAUUAACAGUGGUACUAAAUAUAUUGUUGUAUUGUUAAGUAUAAAAUGUUUCUUUAUA